rnacentral:rRNA from 1 species
CGGGUGAGUAACGCGUGGGUAACCUGCCUUAUACAGGGGGAUAACAGUCAGAAAUGGCUGCUAAUACCGCAUAAGCGCACAGAGCUGCAUGGCUCAGUGUGAAAAACUCCGGUGGUAUAAGAUGGACCCGCGUUGGAUUAGCUAGUUGGUGGGGUAACGGCCCACCAAAGCGACGAUCAGUAGCCGGCCUGAGAGGGUGAACGGCCACAUUGGGACUGAGACACGGCCCAA